GCUAAUGAUUUAUACACUGUCUAAAUGACCAGUUAUAGCGUGUUGGGUUUUUAGUUUUUUCGUGGACAGGAAGUGCUGUCGGUGACGGCGCGCGACUCCAUUUUAGGCUUCAUUCAUCUUCGCAGCCAGUGAGAUUACGCGCUCGCUACGGAAAAAACGACAAUAAAGAUGGUUAAGAUCUUUGUUGGCAACCUAUCCUCAGGCACGACCGCGGAAGAUCUGCGCUCUCUUUUUUCUGAAUACGGCAAAGUAAAAGAGUGUGACGUCCUGAAAAAUUAUGGCUUUGUGCACAUGGAAGGUAAGCAGGAGGCCGAAGAGGCCAUCCGCAAACUCCACCAUCACGAGCUCAACGGGCAAGCCAUAAAUGUGGAGAUGAGCAAAGGGAAGCCCAGGGGCUCCACCAAACUGCAUGUGAGCAACAUAAGCAGUGGCUGCACCAAUCAGGAGCUCCGGGCCAAGUUUGAGGAGUAUGGACCUGUGGUUGAGUGUGACAUAGUAAAGGACUAUGCCUUCGUUCACAUGGAGCGAAUGGAGGAUGCCAUGGAGGCCAUCAGUGGGCUGGAAAACACGAACUUCCAAGGUGUUGUCAAGUGAAGAGACUUCCCUCCAUCUAUAUGACUUUGCCUCAAUCAGAUGCUCCAUCGAUUUCAAAGAUGCAGGAUUGGAUGGGCACAUUGAUCACAAUGCUUAUUAGAUCUUCAAGUUAUAAUAUCGCACAAACUGCUGUUUAAUUUCCCUUUCCAAUGGAGACAUCUGUGUAUGAUUGCAAGAAGUGGUUGUAAUUUUGGUUUUUGCUUUGCUUUUCGCUUACUUCCAGAGGUAAGGUGGGGUGGCUAAUGUCAGCAUAAUUUUAACUAUUAACCGCAAUUAAACAGACACUUUGUGAGAUUCUGAAUUGUACUUUUGUCUGUAAUUUCCCCCAGUUAAAUUUGAUCACUAUUAUUUACUUUUAUUUUUUUUUAAAUUGAUGCUCCAUUAAUGCUCCUUUUCUGAAGCUUUCGGGUUGGCUUGCCACUUAUUUUUUUGAUUUAAGUUCCGUGAGGACAAUCUGGUUACGUUUCUUAUGGCGAUAAUAAUGCCAGCGUUUUGUUUUUAGGGGAGAGUGGGAAUCUGAAAUUAAUCCUGUGGCCAGCAAAAAGCUCUACAGGAAAAAAAAAUUCUAAAAUUCAACAUUCCAACAUUCUUUUUAUUUGCUACAGGUGAUUGGUAUAUACAGACUCUUCAGAUGUGAAUAGUACUUGCCUGUUGAAUUGUGUUGUAUCUGAUAGGUAUGUUCAACAAGGAUGGCCAGCUUGUUUCUAUUACCAAUGUUUGUGAGUUUUUGUGAUUUGGAAGCUUGGAUAUGAAUUUUGAGUUUGUUUUGAUUGUUUACUCCCUCUAACUGAUGUUUAAGUCCUUAAAAUAUGAUUUGAUAUACAACCUAAAUAGUUGGCCAGCUUUCAGUGAGAUGCAAACUGUUUUCUGUUCUGUACACCCCAGUGACUGUUUAUGGUGGGGGAUCGUUACAUUGUAAGAAGAUUCAGCUAGAUGGAAAGGUGGACUGUACAUGUGAGUGAAUUGGACAUUUGCAUUAGAUGUGCUGACCAACUCUCACUCAGGGCUUUAUUCACCUUUGGAGACCGCUAGCGUUUAUGGGCGAUUCUUCUUUAUGGGUGCCUUGGGAAGCUCUGUGAGAAUGUUUAUAAAUUUGAUUUUCUGUAGUUUGUAUAUUUCCUACAGAAGUCAGGAGUGUGUUUUAUGAAUUAUCUUUUGUAAUAAACCAGUAUUUUGGUGAAAAAAUAUCUAUCGGUCUUUAAUAAUAGAAGCCUCUGUGUAUACAUAAUUAUCAUUUCAAUUAAAUUGAUCUAAGUUGUUCUUGGUAUUUUAAUGCUUUAUUACGUAACGGAUCAUUGCAUGAUCUAUCUGGCCACGUGGUGCUUUGAAAUCUCCGAAAACUCCAGUUGCAAGCUAUUGCAGCAGGCUUUGAGAUUGGAGAAAAGAAAAGGGGACGGGCAGCGUUAACACCAUGCAACGCUAUUCUCCAGCCAGCCUCGCUUUAUGCGACGCAAGAGUGACGCCAUUUCAUCUAGCCCCGGCUCCUGCAAGCAUCCUGAAAAGGGCUUGAGCAUUGACUUUACAUUAUUAAAAUGGUGAAAAUCUUUGUUGGGAACCUUUCGCCGAACACUACGGCUGAGGAGAUCCGCUCCCUAUUCUCUCAGUAUGGCAAAAUAUCUGAGUGUGACAUUGUGAAAAACUUUGGCUUUGUGCACAUGGAUGACAAAGCAGAGGCAGAUGAAGCCAUUCGAAAUCUUCACCAUUACAUGCUGAAUGGUUUGGCCAUGAAUGUGGAGAUGAGCAAAGGGAAGCCCAAGACCUCUACAAAACUUCAUGUCGGAAACAUCAGUAGUAGUUGCACCAACCAAGAACUCCGGGCCAAGUUUGAGGAAUAUGGACCUGUGGUUGAGUGUGACAUAGUGAAAGACUAUGCAUUUGUUCACAUGGAGCGAGUGGAGGAUGCUAUGGAGGCCAUCAGUGGUUUGGACAACACAGCCUUUCAAGGUGAACCAGUAUGGUCCUUUUAGCUCAAUUUUAUCUUGUCAUGUUUGUUCCAAAAAGUGAGCCUCAUUACAGUUUGGUAAGUAGAAAAAUUGGUAAGUGAUAAGUGGAGCAAAAUUGGCUAUUCGAUUUCUACGGUUAGUUUAUUAUAUGGAGGUCAAUAGAGGAUGUCCACAAAGCUGAUCAGUUGUUCAUUGAAAUUAUUUCAUCUAAAAAAGCAAGGGAAAUCAUACAAGUUCUUUUCUCAAUGAGCAGAAAUUUGUGUAAUUCAGGUCAACAUGUUGUGUGCAUUAAAAAUAGUAAAUUAAUUUCUUAAAGAACAAAAACCUUUAUUUGUUACUUCAAUUCAACAAAUGAAUAUGCUGUACAAAAUACAAACAGUGUUUUAUAAUGGCAUAGUAAUUAUUCAAAGUAAAAAAAUUAUUUAGUAUUAUUAGGAUGACUUAAUUUUUCUAAUUCAACCACAUUUAUAUUUAUUCAUCUUUCUUUCAAACUUUUACAUUAUAAAGUUAUGAUCCUAAAUGCACUCAUAGUUUACAAAAAAUGAUUUUAGUUGUUAGUGUUUCUAAGAAAUUUAGUAGAAUGUAUUACAACUGCCUUUUAUCAAUUAUCAGCCAUAAAAAAAAAAUAAUAAAAAGUAAGUGGGUUGUGAACAGUUUUUGACACUGACAUUCAUUUAUAAUUUAACUAAUUCUGGCCGUGUUUUUCUCAAUAACUGUUCCAACAUAGCGUGAAGUCUUUGGCUGCUUUGACCUUCUGAACAUUUAAUCCGUGUGCAUGCUAAAAAUUAAAAUAGAAAUAUCAUGGCAAAUUCUUUCUUUUCCUUAAGGCAAACUGAUGAGCGUGAAGCUUUCGACUAGCCGCCUGCGUACCGCGCCGGGAAUGGGAGAGAGAGCGGGUUGUUAUCGGUGCGGGCAGGAAGGCCACUGGUCCAAAGAAUGCCCAAUUGACCAGAACGGCUGCUACAGAGAGGGCCCAGGCUCAGCAGGAUAUGGGCCCCUCAGGUUCGAUGAGGGUGGCGAAUGUGGUGGCCGGGGGUUUCAUCGCAGCUACAGUGGCGAACCGGCCUUCGGUGGCAACUUUUCACAUGGCUUCUCCAGGGGAGCAGGGUACGGCGUCCCAGGGUAUGGAAGGGGCGCGGGUUUUGAGAGCGCAUUGAGUUACGGUAUGCCAGCGGGCUACAGCAUUGGCGCGGAUAAUAGCAUGGCCCCCACAUACGGCAGUGAGGCUGUGUAUGGGAGCAGUGGCGUGGCCUAUGGUGGUGCGAUGCCUGCAUACCCAAUACGGCGACCGCCCUAUGAGGAACGAGAUCCGUACGGGGUGGUGGACUUCUACGAGAAAUAUCGGGCACGUCCGUAUGGAGCAAGUUAUUUUGAAGAUAGACGCGCGGUCCCACCUCCUGUUCCUCCUACCCCUUCCUCCUCGGCGGUCGUGAGAUAUGAGCGCCAUCCCCUUCCCCCUCCUCAGGCUCCCACCUCUUCAUACUAUGUUCGUGAGCGGAGCCCGAUCCGGCGAGCUCCCCUAGAGGCGGAGGGAUAUGCGUAUGAGCGGUCGCGCCUCUCUCCUGUCUCUUCGCUUUCCAGGAGCUCUGCGUAUGACGUACCGCGGGAUCCAUAUGCCGCUACGCGCUAUGCUUACUAGCCUAAUACAUGUGUGCACUCAGGUGAGAUCUUUUUAGGAUUAUAAAAAUUAGAGCUAAGUUUGAUCAAACGGAAAGCAGUUUUUGGGGGAUUAUUUUUAAAGGGAUAUUGGUUCCUCUCUGAUAACUGAAAAUUCUGGCAUCAGUUGCUCAACCUCAACUUUUUUUGGGGUCUAUAGGGAGAAAAGUAAUACAGGUUUGGAACAACAUGAGGGUGAGUAAAUGAUGACGGAAUUUUCAUUUUUGGGUGAACUAUGCCUUUAAAGUUCUUUCAUAGGGCAGUGAAGUAUUGUUAACAAUGUUUGAUUUACUUUGAUUGAGGAUCUGGAUAUUCUGCAAGGUCCUGCUGAACAUAUCUUCAUUAUUAUAUCAUAGAUAUUUUGGUUACACAUCCAAAAUACAUAAAUACAAGCAAACAAAGAUUGACAUUGAUAUUUUUAGCCAGAUUUGUCAACUUGAAGCACUUGGUUACUUCCUAUUACCUAAAAAAAAGUCUUGUCCCAAUUCAUGUUGUCAAUUUUGGGCACAUGAAAGUCCACAAAAUGGACAACUGAAUGACUGAGAUGAUUUUAUGAUUCUUUUCUUUUUUGCAGGUGUUUCUUGGUUGCUCAUGGAUCAUUUAAGAGGUUGUGAUGCAUCCUGUGUUGCCUGGGUCAAGGACAGUACACAUGGCCCACUUCCUGGCACUAAACUCCUUUUGUCAUCUUAAUCUUUAUGUAGCUGUUUUUUUUUUUAUUUGAUAUGUAAAUAUGUUCUCGUUAAUAAAAGUUAAAACCAAA